CGAUAACGAACGAGACCUUAACCUGCUAAAUAGUUAGGCCAACGUUUGUUGGUCGUCAACUUCUUAGAGGGACUAUUGACUAUUAGUCAAUGGAAAUUUGAGGCAAUAACAGGUCUGUGAUGCCCUUAGAUGUUCUGGGCCGCACGCGCGCUACACUGAUCAAGUCAACGAGUUUACAACCUUGGCCGGAAGGUCUGGGUAAUCUUUUGAAACUUGAUCGUGCUGGGGAUAGUCCAUUGCAAUUAUUGGACUUCAACGAGGAAUUCCUAGUAAGCGUGAGUCAUCAGCUCGCGUUGAUUACGUCCCUGCCCUUUGUACACACCGCCCGUCGCUACUACCGAUUGAAUGGCU
rnacentral:rRNA from 1 species